AUCUCUGUAGCACAAUGGAUAGUGCAUUGGACUUUUAAUUUAAAGGUCGUGGGUUUGAUUCCCACCUGGGAUG